AUUUUAUGUCAAAAGAAAGCCGUAUUUGCCCUUAACAAAAUUUUACACAAUAUGUAAGGGUGUACUUUAGAAGAUCCCUUAAAGGGACACUAUAGCACCAAAGCAACUUUAGCUUAAUGAAGCAGUUUUGCUGUAUGGACAAUGCCUCUGAAAUUUCACUGCUCAAUUCUAUGCCAUUUAGGAGAUGUUCUGUUUAUGCAGCCCUAGCCACACCUCCCCAGGCUGACACUGCCUGCAUGAAAACAAAACUGUUUGAUUUUCAAUCAGAUCGAGCAGGGCUC